rnacentral:lncRNA from 1 species
AAGUGGGUCUUCGGCUCUUUGUGUCCAUUUGCUUCUCUCUUAGCAGGAUGGACGCUGCCCCCUCCAACCAUGGCUGUGACUGAAGUCCCGUUACCCAUUCUUCCACAGCCCAGCAUCUUCCGAGACGGAGACCCACACGCAGAGCUCAGAAAGUUACUGUGAAUGGACCAAUGGAUGGAUGGCGCCCUCAAGUCCAUUGCCAGUGGCUUUUCACCCUGGUGACCCCAGAGGGCCAUGCUUGUGCCAUCCUGAUCUUCCCAGUCACCGCAGGGAGAAAGAAUCCCUCUUGUCCUCCAAGCCAGCGGUAUCACCAUUCUGCCAGCAGGGAACCUCCAGGUUACCACUGCACUAUAAGAACUAGGUUGUCACCUGGGAAAAGUACUUUGUUUUGCAGCCCUCUGAAGUCAAAUAAGACCAGUGUUGUUUCUUCUUGAUGUUCUAAGAUAGAGUAGAGGAAUUUCAUAUAUGUAGCUCUUGAUGCAACCUCUGGGACAUAUUAAAGCUCAAUUACAAAC